rnacentral:rRNA from 1 species
CAAUAGCGUAUAUUUAAGUUGUUGCAGUUAAAAAGCUCGUAGUUGGAUUUCUGGUUGAAGCGACCGGUCGGGCGUUGAUUCGUCUGCACUGGAGUCGGUUUUGGCCAUCCUCUAGGAAAGUGCGUCUGGUAUUAAGUUAUCGGGCGUAUGAUCCUGGUCUUUUACUGUGAAAAAAUUAGAGUGUUUAAAGCAGGCCUUCGCCUUGAAUACAUUAGCAUGGAAUAAUAAGAUAGGACUUUGGCCUAUUUUGUUGGUUUGCAGACCGAAGUAAUGAUUAAUAGGGAUAGUUGGGGGUAUUUAUAUUCCGAUGUCAGAGGUGAAAUUCUUAGAUUUUCGGAAGAUAAACUUAUGCGAAAGCAUUUACCAAGGAUGUUUUCAUUAA